rnacentral:rRNA from 1 species
UACAGAGGUCCCAAGCGUUGUUCGGAUUCACUGGGCGUAAAGGGUGCGUAGGUGGUGAGGUAAGUCGGAUGUGAAAUCUCCGAGCUCAACUCGGAAAUGGCAUUGGAAACUACCUUGCUUGAGGGUUGGAGGGGGGACUGGAAUACUUGGUGUAGCAGUGAAAUGCGUAGAUAUCAGGAGGAAUACCGAUGGCGAAGGCAGCCCCCCUGGGGUCAAGAUUGAUGCUCAUGCACGAAAGCGUGGGGAGCAAACAGGG